rnacentral:rRNA from 1 species
AUUGGUGCUUGCAUCAUGAUUUACAUUUGAGUGAGUGGCGAACUGGUGAGUAACACGUGGGAAACCUGCCCAGAAGCGGGGGAUAACACCUGGAAACAGAUGCUAAUACCGCAUAACAACUUGGACCGCAUGGUCCGAGCUUGAAAGAUGGCUUCGGCUAUCACUUUUGGAUGGUCCCGCGGCGUAUUAGCUAGAUGGUGGGGUAACGGCUCACCAUGGCAAUGAUACGUAGCCGACCUGAGAGGGUAAUCGGCCACAUUGGGACUGAGACACGGCCCAAACUCCUACGGGAGGCAGCAGUAGGGAAUCUUCCACAAUGGACGAAAGUCUGAUGGAGCAACGCCGCGUGAGUGAAGAAGGGUUUCGGCUCGUAAAACUCUGUUGUUAAAGAAGAACAUAUCUGAGAGUAACUGUUCAGGUAUUGACGGUAUUUAACCAGAAAGCCACGGCUAACUACGUGCCAGCAGCCGCGGUAAUACGUAGGUGGCAAGCGUUGUCCGGAUUUAUUGGGCGUAAAGCGAGCGCAGGCGGUUUUUUAAGUCUGAUGUGAAAGCCUUCGGCUCAACCGAAGAAGUGCAUCGGAAACUGGGAAACUUGAGUGCAGAAGAGGACAGUGGAACUCCAUGUGUAGCGGUGAAAUGCGUAGAUAUAUGGAAGAACACCAGUGGCGAAGGCGGCUGUCUGGUCUGUAACUGACGCUGAGGCUCGAAAGUAUGGGUAGCAAACAGGAUUAGAUACCCUGGUAGUCCAUACCGUAAACGAUGAAUGCUAAGUGUUGGAGGGUUUCCGCCCUUCAGUGCUGCAGCUAACGCAUUAAGCAUUCCGCCUGGGGAGUACGGCCGCAAGGCUGAAACUCAAAGGAAUUGACGGGGGCCCGCACAAGCG